GGAGCGGUAGUUCAGUUGGUUAGAAUACCGGCCUGUCACGCCGGGGGUCGCGGGUUCGAGUCCCGUCCACUCCGCCA
rnacentral:tRNA from 10 species